rfam:Xenopus laevis strain J chromosome 2L, whole genome shotgun sequence.
CAGUACACUCAUCCAUAAAGUAGGAAACACUACAGCGUUCAGUCCUAUCUAGUAGUGCUUUCUACUUUAUGGGUGGCUGCACUGC